GACAGAGGUGGCAAGCGUUGCUCGGAUUUACUGGGCUUAAAGGGCGCGUAGGCGGCUUUAUAAGUCCGAGGUGGAAUUCCACAGCUUAACUGUGGAACUGCCUUGGAAACUAUAAGGCUUGAGUCAGGUAGAGGGGGGCGGAAUUGCCGGUGGAGCGGUGAAAUGCGUAGAUAUCGGGAGGAAGGCCGGUGGCGAAAGCGGCCCUCUGGGCCUGGACUGACGCUGAGGCGCGAAAGCGUGGGGAGCAAACAGG
rnacentral:rRNA from 1 species